rnacentral:rRNA from 1 species
GUGCAACUCGAACGGACACGGGUUUUCCCCUUAUUUUGCCUUGAUUAAUUUGAGGGUAAUAUGAGGGGGAUGUGCUGACGAGUGGGAGACGGGAGAGUAAAACAUAAGACUCUCCCUAGUGGAGUGGGAUAACCUAGGAAAACUUAGGGAAAUCCCGCAUAAUCUCUACAGAAAAAAGCGGGAGACUGAAGGGUCUUGCUCUUUUAUAUGACUCUACCUCAGAUUAUCUAGGGGGGGGGAAAAAGGCUUCCCAGGGAUAUGACCCGUAUGUGGUCUGAGAGGACCACCACCCACUCUGGCUCUGACACACGGCCCACACUCCUACGGGGGGCAGCAGGGGGGAAUAUUGGACAAUGGGCGGAAGCCUGAUCCAGCUAUCCCGCGUGUGAAAAAAAGGUCUGCGGGUUGUAAAGCUCUUUCGGGGGGGAGGAGAGGGUGAGGGCUAACACCUUUCAUCUGACACUUUCCCCGUAUAAGACGCACCGUCUAACUCUGUGCCAGCAGCCGCGGAUAUACAGAGGGCGCGAGCGUUACUCAGUAUCUCUGCGCGUAGAGGGUGCGUACGUGGUGUGAUGAGAUGUGUGAGAAAGUUCUGCUCUUACUCUGGAUCUAGCUCUUGACACUGUCACACUAGAGUACUGUAGAAAAGGUGGUAUUCCCUGUGUAGCAGAGAAAUGCAUAUAUAUCAGAGGGCACAUCAGUGGCAACGCGACUUUCUAGACA